rnacentral:misc_RNA from 1 species
AAAGUCGUAACAAGGUUUCCGUAGGUGAACCUGCGGAAGGAUCAUUAUUGAACCCACUAUGAGAAGCUUCGGCUUCCAUUGAUAUUUAACCCUUUUGAUGUCCAUUACCUCAGUUGCUUCCACGGAUCCUUGGAUUCGUGGAUGGCCCACAACUAAAAACCCUUUGUAAUUAAGCUAUGUUUUGUCUGAAUAAACUUAAAAAUGUUUUAAAACUUUCAACAACGGAUCUCUUGGCUCCU